UUCUGACUAUAAGAUUUUGAA
ensembl:piRNA 21ur-11434 ncRNA